GAGUUUGAUCCUGGCUCAGAAUGAACGUUGGCGGCGUGGAUUAGGCAUGCAAGUCGUGCGAGAAGCUCCCUUCGGGGAGUGGACAGCGGCGAAAGGGAGAGGAACACGUGGAUACCUCCCCCCAGGACCGGGAUAGCUGUGGGAAACUGCAGGUAAUACCGGAUAACAUCUCCGGAUCAAAUGGUGAGAUUCCGCCUGGGGACGGGCCCGCGUCCUAUUAGCUUGUUGGUGAGGUAACGGCUCACCAAGGCCAUGAUGGGUAGCGGGCGUGAGAGCGUGGCCCGCCUCACUGGGACUGAGACACUGCCCAGACACCUACGGGUGGCUGCAGUCGAGAAUCUUCGGCAAUGGACGCAAGUCUGACCGAGCGACGCCGCGUGCGGGAUGAAGGCCUUCGGGUUGUAAACCGCUGUCAGAGGGGAUGAAAUGCCAUGGGGUACUCUCCAUGGUUUGACAUAGCCUCAGAGGAAGGACGGGCUAAGUUCGUGCCAGCAGCCGCGGUAAGACGAACCGUCCAAACGUUAUUCGGAAUCAUUGGGCUUAAAGGGUGCGUAGGCGGUGCGGAAAGUUGGGUGUGAAAUCCCUCGGCUCAACCGAGGAACUGCGCCCAAAACUUCCGUGCUUGAGGAAGACAGAGGUGAGCGGAACUAAGGGUGGAGCGGUGAAAUGCGUUGAUAUCCUUAGGAACACCGGUGGCGAAAGCGGCUCACUGGGUCUUUUCUGACGCUGAGGCACGAAAGCUAGGGGAGCGAACGGGAUUAGAUACCCUGGUAGUC
rnacentral:rRNA from 1 species